rnacentral:rRNA from 1 species
GAAACCAACAGGGAUUGCCUCAGUAGCGGCGAGUGAAGCGGCAAGAGCUCAGAUUUGAAAUCGUGCUUGCGGCACGAGUUGUAGAUUGCAGGUUGGAGUCUGUGUGGAAGGCGGUGUCCAAGUCCCUUGGAACAGGGCGCCCAGGAGGGUGAGAGCCCCGUGGGAUGCCGGCGGAAGCAGUGAGGCCCUUCUGACGAGUCGAGUUGUUUGGGAAUGCAGCUCCAAGCGGGUGGUAAAUUCCAUCUAAGGCUAAAUACUGGCGAGAGACCGAUAGCGAACAAGUACUGUGAAGGAAAGAUGAAAAGCACUUUGAAAAGAGAGUGAAACAGCACGUGAAAUUGUUGAAAGGGAAGGGUAUUGCGCCCGACAUGGGGAUUGCGCACCGCUGCCUCUCGUGGGCGGCGCUCUGGGCUUUCCCUGGGCCAGCAUCGGUUCUUGCUGCAGGAGAAGGGGUUCUGGAACGUGGCUCUUCGGAGUGUUAUAGCCAGGGCCAGAUGCUGCGUGCGGGGACCGAGGACUGCGGCCGUGUAGGUCACGGAUGCUGGCAGAACGGCGCAACACCGCCCGUCUUGAAACAUGGACCAAGGAGUCUAACGUCUAUGCGAGUGUUUGGGUGUGAAACCCGUACGCGUAAUGAAAGUGAACGUAGGUCGGACCCCCUGCCCUCGGGGAGGGGAGCACGAUCGACCGAUCCCGAUGUUUAUCGGAAGGAUUUGAGUAGGAGCAUAGCUGUUGGGACCCGAAAGAUGGUGAACUAUGCCUGAAUAGGGUGAAGCCAGAGGAAACUCUGGUGGAGGCUCGUAGCGGUUUCUGACGUGCAAAU